rnacentral:rRNA from 1 species
AUGGCGCUCUCCCGCCGCCUUCUCCUCUUCCUCUCCCUCGUCGCCGUGACGGCGGUCACCGGCACCUCCGAGAUCAUCGUGACCAGGUGCUACCCGCCGCCGACGCCCGCUGUCAACGGCAGCACCAGCGCGUUCCGCCGCGAUCUCCUCUCGCUACUCGACGCCCUCCCCUCGGCAGCCGCGCCGACGGGCUUCGCCUCCAUGCGGACCGGCGGCGCGUUCGCCCGCGGCCUCUGCUUCGGCGACCCCGCGCCGGACCCCUGCUUCCGCUGCCUGUCUGACGCCGGCAGGAAGAUCACCGACCUGUGCGGACACGCCAACCGGCGCGCGGGCUUCCUGGACGACGGCUGCUUCCUGGGCUACUCCGGCGCCAACGCGUCCUCCGCCGGCGCGGACGACGACGACAUCAGUGGCGUGACAUUCUCCGGCGACGCCCUCCCGCUCUUCGACAACGUCGACGUGCAGAAGCUCGUGGCCGUGGCGCGGUCCCUGGUUCCGCGGUCCGCGAACGGCCAGGUGGCAGCCGCCGACGCGACUGCCACGGCGAGCAACGGCGAGCAACGGCGACACAGUGCGCGUGCUGGCACAGUGCGCGACGGACCGCGCCCCGGCGGAGUGCGCCCGGUGCCUGCGGGAUUCGUCGCUGCAGAUGGCCCAGAGCUGGGGGCUCACGCUCACCGCCAGCGCCGUGCAAACGGUUCUCGCCUCGAACUGCUACCUCCGCUUCGAGAUAUCGGCACCGCCGCUGCCCGUGAGAGAGAAGAUUCGGAGGAUCGUAAAGGAUAA